GGGGUUGGCGGGGCAGCCACAGCAACAUCUGUCACUCCAUUGCUUGUCAGGAUUAUUUAGCUGACUUGUCUGACUGGGCAGGUGUCCCCUCUCUCCCUCAGUGCUCCAUGUGCAUCCCUCUUGAAGCUUCGCACUCUAUUGAAGAGGACACUCAUCCCAGGUAGAGGGGGGAUGGGAAACUGGGCCAAUUGAAUCUGUCCUUUUUUAUUUCCAUCAGAUCAGGACACUCAACUGGGAUCCAUUGACUUCUGAGGGCCAUGACCUUCAUGGAGUUCUUGCCAA
rnacentral:sRNA from 1 species